rnacentral:rRNA from 1 species
UGCGCAGGCGGAACUUUAAGUCAGUGGUGAAAUCUUGCCGCUUAACGGUAAAAUUGCCAUUGAUACUGAAGUUCUUGAAUAUGGUUGAGGUAGGCGGAAUGUGUUGUGUAGCGGUGAAAUGCAUAGAUAUGACACAGAACUCCGAUUGCGAAGGCAGCUUACUAAACCAUUAUUGACGCUGAGGCACGAAAGCGUGGGGAGCGAACAGGAUUAGAUACCCCUGGUAGUCC